rnacentral:rRNA from 1 species
GUAGCGCUACCCUUGUCCGUAGUUACCCAUGCUGGGUUAACCGGGGAACUGCUAAGGAUACUGCCAGUGACAAAUCUGGAGUAAGGCGGGUGACCGACGUCAAGUCAUCAUGGCCCUGUACGACCAGGGCUUACACACGUGCUUACAAUGGUAGGUACAGAGGUCAGCUACACAGCGAUGGUGAUGCGAAUCUCAAAAAGCCUAUCGUAGUCCAGAUUGGAGUCUGCAACUCGACUACAUGAAGUAGGAAAUCGCUAGUAAUCGCGGAUCAGAAUGCCGCGGUGAAUACGUUCCCGGGCCUUGUACACACCGCCCGUCACACCCAUGGGAGUUGAUUGCACCAGAAGUGGAUAGCCUAACCUUUUAGGAAGGCGUUCACCACGGUGUGGUUGAUGACUGGGCUCGACAGUCGUAACACAGGUAGCCGUAGGGGAACCUGUGGCUGGAUCACC